UACGUAGGGGGCAAGCGUUGUCCGGAAUUAUUGGGCGUAAAGCGCGUGUAGGCGGCCUUGCAAGUCGGGUGUGAAAGCCCUCAGCUCAACUGAGGAAGCGCGCCCGAAACUGCAGAGCUUGAGUACCGGAGAGGAUGGCGGAAUUCCCCAAGUAGAGGUGAAAUUCGUAGAUAUGGGGAGGAACACCGGUGGCGAAGGCGGCCAACUGGACGGAUACUGACGCUGAGACGCGAAAGCGUGGGGAGCAAACAGG
rnacentral:rRNA from 1 species